CCUGACACCUACUAGCUUGGCCUCCUGCGGCAGCCGUGUUCCAUUGGUGGUUGAGAAGAUGGGCAGCAGUUCUCGCCCAAUGAGAGGCACCGGUAUCCGGAAGGCGGGUCUGGCGCGAACCUGAUGCAAGGGGUCAGUUGGAACCUCCUCUGGACUGUGCACCUGGUCACUUGCCUAUCUGUUCAGUUAGGGGCGUGGCUAUGACCCUUGGGCAGCUCACCAAUGCAGGAAGGAGACCGUUGGGGAGAGUGCUAAUAUAGGCCACGCGUACUGGUGACUGAGUCUGCUCCACGUGCUUGCACGGGUGCCUUUCUGUGGUGCUAGCUCUGGUGGAUCUGGAAGGCUAGGGGCAGCACAGCAGCUGAGAUGUCCCCGGCUACAGGUACCAGAGCCGAGCACCUUGACCUGAACUGCAGCCUGUCUUUUCCUGUGUGCAUGGGAAGUAGGACUCAGAGCCCUCUUUACUUGCUCAGCAUUUUCGGUGCAUGCUUUGUAUGGUAAGCACGCUCUGGGUUUCCUGUCAUCUUUCUAUUUCAUCUAUUUGUCAUCAUUGUAUCCAUUCAUUUGUUCUUUCUAUUGCUUUGCUCUGUUUGGGCUUUGGAUUAGACUUGUGUUUGGAAAUUGUUCUAAUAGCUGUGAACAAAUGAGCCACACCUGUGAUUUGGUGAGUUUGCAUUCUAAAGAGAGGCAAAUCAAUAAGAUCACAAGGAAGGUGGUAAGGUCCACUUAGAAAGUGCAGAUGGACUGUGAAAGAGUGUGGAGAGGGGAAGCAGGUGAGGGACUAAUUUCUAGAUUGCCACUGUUAAGGUUUGUGUCUAGAUGUCCCUAAACCUUAUGCAGUCAUGGACGCAGGUUUCUAGAAUUUCCAGUUGAUUUAUGGUCCUAUGCUCGGAUUAUAGGUAUGUUAUAUUACAUUGAUUAUUGUAUAUGGAUAUGCGUAUCGUAUUGCAUGUUGGCUAUCCUACGGUGUGUAGCUAACAAGGAAAUGUAAGGGACAGAAAGAGACUUUACUAUGCACUCUUUUGAUUCCUGCUCUUGCUGCUUUUGCUGUCUUCUAUGGCCAUGAACAGUUGCCCCUGAGUCAUGCCACCCUUCCUUACAGAUGAUUACAGACUGAAACCUCCACAAACUGUGAGCUAAAUAACGCUUUGAACCUUAAUUUUAGGUGUGAGGUAUUUUGUAUUGGCUUAAAGAGACAAGAAACCAACACAAGAUGUAUGUAAAUGGGCCAUAUCUAGGUGGACACCAGCUGUCAACAUUCAUUCAUGUGACAUCAUGCCAAUUGGACCUGGUACAUAGCAUGUGGCAAGUACUAUGGGAGCCCUGGCAUAACAUGUGUAUUAUAGGGAGGAAGAUGUGAAUGCCUUAGCUUCAGUGUUCAGCCACAUGAGUGAAGGCUUUUGUGUCUAAUGCUCUGGUCAUGACAGAAUGUUUCCCCAGUGUCUUUGGCAUAUGUUGUCAGACCCUCCAUCCUGGAGGCAGGAUGCCUCUCUUGUGGUCCCUCAGCGUGCACAGUUUUUAUUGAUCGCGCACAGUAGGUAAGCAAACCUUGUGAACAGAACACAGCAGAAACGGAGGGAAGUCAUUUGUGAGAGGAGAUCAAAAAGACUCUAUAGUUGUGCCUUGCAUAUGUCGCUUCCAGAUCAUUACCUCGGACACGAUCUGCUGUAUCCUAUGCCACCCAAUAGAGAAGCCCUUGGUAACCAGGCAGUCGAGACUGGUGCCUUCAGUCAAUGCCCAUAGAGGAAUAAAUCCUCCUCAUACCCAAGUGACUCAGUUUGUGUGAGUGAACAUAGACAAGGCUCCUGAUGUAUUCGUAGGAGUCUGCCUAUGCCUUGGCAUGUGACAGACACAUAGGCAGAGGCAUACAGCUAAGCCUGACCAACUGUCCUUCUCCAACGGUAGGGAGAAAAUUAACGUUCUGGGUUGCCAUUGACUUGGUGUCAUUGUGAUGCAAAAAUAGAACAAACUACAAUCUGUUACCAAUGUGGAGGAGCAGUGCUGGGUUAGUGCCUUCGGAUAUCAAGAGCACCUACGUCAUCUUAUAUAUGACCUUCACCAAUGUAUUGAGUAGUUUGGAUUCCUGAUGGGUUGAUUGUUUGCAGUACGAGGAUUGAAGCCAUGGAGACGUUGCCAUGCACCUCAAGCUAUAGUUCUUUUGAAGGUUCCUACAUGGCCUUGAAAUUGCUGUCUCCUGCCUCACCUCGGAUCCAUAGUUAUGCACCAUCACAUCUAGCUGAUUUUGAGUUCUGAGUUAGGUGCAUGGAAGAGAAAGCUCUGCAGCAGGUCGUAUGUGUAGUACUGACUGCCCUACACUUGGAAGAGCCAAUAUGCUAGAGAGGUACUUGGUGAACACCCGGCCCCAGGUUGUGGAGUGAAACAAUCCUGCCAUUCAGGAUCUCAUGCUAUGCAAGGAGAGCCGUAUGGCACUGGCCCUGCAGAGACUGAGACCCUGAGAAUAGGGCCUCACAUUGGCAAGUGACAGAAGGAAGCUACCGCUGAUUAACCGUGAAAGUAGAGUGUUUCAGGAUGGGUGGAUAUGUUACCGCUAGCCUUGCAAUGAAAACAUAAUUUGUUUUUCUUGACUUUUGACUGUCUUAUCUUCAGAAAGGGUGGUGACACAUUGCUGUAGUCCUAGCCCUUCGGCUGUUGAGGCAGGACAACCUUGAUUUUGAAGUCACAUGGGCUACAUGUUUGAAUUCACAGCCAGCAUAGACACUACAGUGAGAAUUUUGUCUCCAAUGAAACUGUUGUCUUUUUAAGUACACAGCUACUUUCUAUGGCUACUGGAUGUAAUCCAUAGCGAUUAUGAGUUGUGGCCUGGGAUAUCACCUAGAAUUUGCCUUUUCUUCUCUCAGUCAUCUAUUGGUAGCAGUGACAUAUUUUGACUGCUAUCAAUACAAUUUCAGAGAUUGAGAAGAAUAUCAUGAAUUUCCUCGGGAAGUGGUCUAUUUCUGGUUGAGGUCAAUCCCUACGCAUCCAUGUUUCCCAGUCUGAACCCAAGGAUCGGCCCCAUUCUCCUGUCCACUGACUCCAAACAAGUCAGAAUCCCAGUCCAGGAGUUCACCUUUUCAGCUGCGUCUUUUGGAGCCCACUGGGCCCUGAGUGACAGUGGCCCUAAGUGUGAGACUAACAUUCCUGAGCUUCCUAUUACUUGUGCUUUAGCUUUGUGAUAUUUUACAACUAAAGUACCACUCUUAUGGCAUAAACCAAAUCUAGCUUUUCUCUUCUGUAUUUGUAUGAGGAGGGAAGCUGGAACCAUUUGCUUGUCUAGUGCUCAGGAAGGAACUCAGGGUCUUAAACAUGCCAGAAAUGAGCUCCGUCCCUAGCCCUUGCACCUGAUUCCUUAUUUUUAUUAUUACAUGAGCUAGUACGUCAGUAAGCUGCCCAGGCUAAACUUGAACUUUCUGUGCUACUGCUUCUGCCUCCACAGUACCUGGAACUAUAGGCCUGUGCCAGCAAUCCUACUAGCUUAUCAUUUGUAAGUGUUGAAGGGCUGAAUACAGUGUUGGUCUUCCCUGUCACAUGCUCUGAUGUCACAUUCAGAGGCUCCAGGCCACCACAUAGCAGAGGCCCUCCUUGAGGAUACAAGCUGGUAGAGACAAGUUAACCCUUCCCUCAGCUGGUGCCCUCACAGAUAGAUCUUCACUGCCUUUGUGUGGCUUUUAGUGAGGAGAAACUGUACUGUAACAGUCCCUAUCCUCUGGUUUGAUUUUGCUGUUUUGUUUUUUACCACCUGUCUUUUGCACCUUGGUUAUUAAUAAUUGAGCACCAGUUGGAUGCCAACAAUAACACCGACAGAAUCAGCCCACUGUCGAAUUGCCCUGGCCAUCAGAGACACCUCCAGCAGCCAGUGGGACCAGGAAAUGGCAACACCAUGUUGCACAGGAAAAGUUCGCAACAGCUUACUUGGAAUUCGUGCACCUUUACUAAACGCAGUUGCUCCACAUUUGUAUUGAUUUCCAGUUGUACCAGUUGAAGCUGCCGGAAGGAACUGCCGUGGGAGGAAAACACAGCAAAAACAAAACAGCCUCAAAAAAGUUACAUUCCAGGACAACCUUAAAAAGGCUGCCUUCCAAGCUAAACUCCAUGGCACAUUCCUGGCAAUUGCAGCAGCAGCUACAGUAGCAGCAGCACCCAGAGCUUAAGAUAAGACACAGGCUAGAGAAAAAACUCCAGCCCACCCCUACCACCAUGCUUCAAGUGCAGUUGAAAAAUGACACUGGACAUGAGCCUGCCCUGCCCUGCAGCCACAACUGGGAACCAGUCCUAUCUGCAACCAAGAGGGCCUCUGGAAGUGCAACUGUCCUGCCUCCAGACAGCGAGGAAAUCAUCACCUUCCCUGCCCUCACAGGAGAGGGCACUGUCACCUUGGACUCAUCACCAGCUGAUAUGAUUGGCAAGACCACUGACGAGGAAUGAUGGGGCUCGGGACCCACGACCCUCACCAAGGCAUCUGUCUUAGAGCCCUGAUUCUCACUGGACAUCUCAGGUCUGCCUUUGCUAUGCUUCAUGUUCAUGGGAUUAUAUACAAGACGGAGGGAUCCUCACUGCUGAAGAAAAAAGCUGGCUGAAACCAACAUCACAAGACAAAUGGACCAGCCAACAGGAUCCAGAAUGACCACACUUGUGGAUCCUGUGGGAGAGUGACCAUCACCAGUGAUGACAGCCUUGCUUUAGUCAUACCGGAAGCUGACUAAUAUACCCACCGCAGAUCUUUGAGGAUCCACAACCCUGCCUGACGAGUUGUGGCACAGGAAAAACAUGAGGAUUGUCAUGCAGUUACAACCACCACUGUCACAUACCUGGGUCAAACUGAGGUUAGUAAGCCCGGGACGUCUUGUCUGAAGCAGUGGUUCCCAAGCUUGUUCACGCGUGAUGCUCUACAGCAUUGUCAAAGUGAGGAUGAGCUUUGAUUCUGGCCACAUAAGAUGCACCAUCAUCUAGUGAAAUGUAAGAUAAGGAACAGUUAUAUUGGAGCUUUUGGGGGAAAUUUGCAGGAACUACACCAAGUUCAGUAACUCUAUCACUUGAAGUUUUGCCAUGAGCAUGAGAACCACUUUGAUUUGAAGUGAGGGCCAGACAUGUUUGGAGCUGCUCAGGAGUAUUCUGCAACAGUCAGCCUUGAUGAGCGGUGCUGGAAUUCCUACAUAAACACCCUUUAGUGUGAUGGGUGUGCAGAUCAGUAGCACAGGAGUUGCCUCACAUGCCCAAGAACCUAGGGUCAGUUCUCAAUUUCAAACUCAAAACAAUAGACAACAAAACACCUCUCAGAAGAAUGACAGAAUUAUUACAUCUAAUGAUGUUUAAUAAUUUAAAUUCUAAGUUCAGGGCAGGGUUAUUUCUGCUUUUUAACUUCCUAAUACUAAAAGAAGCAAUGAACUGUGUUUGAACAGAGGAGUAGGAAAUAGGAUUGAAAACUUCUGUGGUGGGAAAUGUCUACAAUCCCAAUCUUCUGGGAGGCUGAGGCAUGGUAGGAUCAAAACAUGAUCCUACCCUGCACAAUUUAGUGACUUAGCAACAUCUGGUCUCCAAAUAAAAUUAUAAAACCAGGACACAGUAUUAGUCAAUGAGAAGACCCUUGGGUUAUUCCUCAGUACCACAAAAAACCAACCAAACCAAACAUUCCAUUUGCUUAUAGAAGCAUUGUCUCACCAUGAUAACAAUAAGUAGGAUGAUGUCAUUUGUAUAAAACUACUUGUUAUAUGGCCAAAAGAAAGAUUUGGGAUAAUUAAUAGAAAUGUAUGCCCCCUGCCAUUUAGCAACUAGAAGGUGUCUAGGAGAGCCAGUGUUGGUAGCAACUAAGCGAUAUAGAGCAACUAAAUGCUUGUAUUGUUGAGUUGAUUAUGCUGACCUGAGGCCAGAGGUCUGAGCAUCUCUUGGGAGGAUAACUGGAUGCAAUAUAACAAAUAUGAGGGAUUUCCAUAUAUCUUCCCUUUGAAGGCAACUAUUGUUUUCACUGUUGCUUUGUUUUGAUCCAUUGUCUUGCUCUAUUCAAUAUUAUGUUUUGAUCACUCUUAUAAUAUUGUGUUUCUGGUUUGAUCUUACUAUACUUGAUUGAAUGGACAACUACUGUGAAGUUAACAAGACAUACUACGGAACCUAUUACUGUUGUCCCAGUAACCUGCUCUGAAGUUCUGUGCCAAUUUUAGUGCACUGUUUUGACCGGCUUUGUUCAGUCUUACUGUAUUUUACUACCUUCCAAAUAAAAUAAAAAAGAAACAUAUACUUUAAAUAUCUUAA